rnacentral:lncRNA from 1 species
CCACAAGCCUUUCCAGGCCACCCCCUGGGCGGGGGGUGAGUUAGGGCAAUGUGAAUCAGCCUGUAAGGUGGAAUGCUCAGACAUUGGGGUCUUCUUCUCACUCCUGACAGUCCGACUCGGGUGCCCCCAGUGAGUGAGCAGCUCUCCCAAGCAACAGGUCCAGGUCCCAAGCUCCUCCACCUCGUGGCCCCGCCGUCUCCCACCGUGGCUCCCAAGGUCUCCAGAUGUAGAGGGAAGAGUGCUCCGAGUUCAGAAUCCGGCCACCCUGUUUCCCAUCCCAGUUGUGCCAUGAGUCUGAUUGGGGCCAGGUCAUUUCACCUCUCCCAAUUCCCGAUGCUUAAUCGGUAAAAUGGGCUUUUGUCAAGACUGAGCCAACGUGGGGUGUGAAAUUUCCAGUCACCGAGCGGGCCCUCAGCACACAGCACCUGCCUCCUUCCUUCCAUCCACUCAGCUCUGUGAAGUCUGUGGACGUGGAGGCCGGUGGAGACCACCAACUCAUCAGCCGGGCCACGCAGAUGUCUGAUAGGCAACCUUUUGACGUCAAGAGGCUAAAAACUCCACCCUCAGAUCAUGCUAACGCCUCCAUUUUGUGAACACGGGUCCUAGAAGAGGCAUGGAGUCUUACUGUGCUUGUGCAGACCGUCAGUUACCUCAUCUCUCCUCCCCUCAGAUCGUCUCUCUCCACAUUUCAGACCGCCUUGCCCCCAUCCCAUAAAGAUUGCUGAGUCUGUUUUCAGGGAGAUGGAUUUGAGGCUCAUGCUCUCGCUUCCUCGUGAGCAAACCCUCUCUCUGCUGCAAUCUCGUCAUUCAU